ACGCACGCUGGCGGCGUGCUUAACACCUGCCAGUCGAACGGAAAGGCCCUGCUUUUGUGGGGUGCUCGAGUGGCGAACGGGUGAGUAACACGUGAGUAACCUGCCCUUGACUUUGGGAUAACUUCAGGAAACUGGGGCUAAUCCCGGAUAGGAGCUCCUGCUGCAUGGUGGGGGUUGGAAAGUUUCGGCGGUUGGGGAUGGACUCGCGGCUUAUCAGCUUGUUGGUGGGGUAGUGGCUUACCAAGGCUUUGACGGGUAGCCGGCCUGAGAGGGUGACCGGCCACAUUGGGACUGAGAUACGGCCCAGACUCCUACGGGAGGCAGCAGUGGGGAAUAUUGCACAAUGGGCGGAAGCCUGAUGCAGCAACGCCGCGUGCGGGAUGACGGCCUUCGGGUUGUAAACCGCUUUCGCCUGUGACGAAGCGUGAGUGACGGUAAUGGGUAAAGAAGCACCGGCUAACUACGUG
rnacentral:rRNA from 1 species